UACGGAGGGUGCAAGCGUUAUCCGGAUUCACUGGGUUUAAAGGGUGCGUAGGCGGCUUUAUAAGUCAUUGGUGAAAGCUCGCAGCUUAACUGUGAAACUGCCAUUGAAACUGUUUAGCUUGAAUGUGGUUGAAGUGGGCGGAAUAUAACAUGUAGCGGUGAAAUGCGUAGAUAUUGGGAGGAACACCAGUGGCGAAGGCGGCUCACUGGACCGGUACUGACGCUGAUGCGCGAAAGCGUGGGGAGCAAACGGG
rnacentral:rRNA from 1 species